rnacentral:tRNA from 1 species
GGGGGUAUAGCUCAGCUGGUUAGAGCGCUGGCCUGUCAAGCCAGAGGUCGCGGGUUCGAACCCCGUUACUCCCGCCA